rnacentral:rRNA from 1 species
UACGAAGGGGGCUAGCGUUGCUCGGAAUCACUGGGCGUAAAGGGUGCGUAGGCGGGUCUUUAAGUCAGGGGUGAAAUCCUGGAGCUCAACUCUAGAACUGCCUUUGAUACUGAAGAUCUUGAGUUCGGGAGAGGUGAGUGAAACUGCGAGUGUAGAGGUGAAAUUCGUAGAUAUUCGCAAGAACACCAGUGGCGAAGGCGGCUCACUGGCCCGAUACUGACGCUGAGGCACGAAAGCGUGGGGAGCAAACAGG